CGGCUGAGGGGGAAAAGGAAGGGGCCUGAGGCUGUUAGAAAUGGUGGGAGUUGAAGUCCAAAACACCUGGAGGGCCCAAGUUUGCCCUUACCUGUUCUAACCAGUGAGCUUGCCUAAAAAAGAUUAUUUAUUUAUUUGGGAAAUGCCUCUAUCGCCUUUCUGCGAAGAUUCAAGGCGGCUUACAACAGCAGUUCAACAUAAAUAUCCAAUAAACCAUUAUAAAAGUGGCAGAAGACCUAUUUGCGAUAGAACACAACACUGAUGAGUCAGCCUCUUCUGUCCAUGUUUAACAGUAACAUUAGGAUAAAAGUAUGCCAAACUUUGUUGUUCUGAACACCAAAGGAUACCCUUAAUCUCUGCUUGAAGAAGCUUGGUGGAUUCACACUGACUGCAUAUUGGCUUUUCUGCGACAACAAACAGAAGAUUGGUGCUGGCCAGUCUUUGUGCAUAGAAUAGCCUGGAGAAGGAGGGAAAAACAAAAGGUGAGUGAACAGAAGGCGGGACCCUGCGCUGCCAACCACAGUGGUGUCUCAACAAGGUGCAGGUGGCAGCUGUAGUCUCAAGAGUGGCACACAGGCAGACGAAAACACACAAAGAAGAAGAAGAAAUGACCAAGACUUUGGCACAAUGAGGAGGUGUCAGCUCUAAAGUGAGGCAUCAACAUGGCCAAACCAGGGUCCUUUAUGAAGACAGUCCAACCAAAGACUUACCCACUGGAUAGAGGAUUCAAAGGGAUAGCUGCAGGAGGCAGUCAAAUAUUCCCGAGGUGCUCUAGAAACACCUGAAUCCUCGGCCAUUUGGAGCUGGGCAACUAUCCUAAGUGGUCCUUCACACCUGCUGAGGCUUAUUGGAUGCCACAAUUUCAACAAUAACAAGGCAAUCCACUCAUGUCCUGAAGGCUAUUUGCUUGUAGAAGUGAUACUGGACUCUUAUAUCCAAACACUUCAGAGUCUGAAGGUCUCUGCACAGCCCUGUCCCAUUCAGGUUGAGUUGUCUUCAAGAGGAAGAAGGUUCCGAGUGGUGCUGCGCAGGCGCAGAGAGAUACCAAAUGUACGCAUUCACAGGUGACUACUCAGGAAACUACAGUUACAGGUAAGCAACUUAUAAAUUAUCUGCCUCCCCAAAGAGCUAUUCCUCUCCACACAAGUCAUUGUAAGCAGCUGUCAGCUUCCCUGACAAUGAGUCAAUAAAGAACUAGAAAUAUUAGCCUCCUAGCCAGAUGCUUCCCCCUGGUAAGCAUUCCACUCCUCCAGGAAAGAGUGAAACCUGUAAAAACUAUCUUGUCCUAGAGGAAUAAAAUGCUUCAGCUCCAUUCUAGAUUUUUUGGAAAUUUCUUGCAUUGGGCUUUCCAUGGUAUCUUCUUCUCCAGGCUGGGCCAGACUGCCAUAACUAGUCCAGGACAAAUCACUUUAUAAUACAUAUUGUGUAUGUACUACAGAAAUGUUGGGUGGAUUAUGCUCCUGUCAUGCCUUAACCAACUGCAGAUUUCUCUGGUUUCAAUGCCCAAACAAUUCUUAGACAUCCCCAUUGGUUUCUAAAUUCUAACGAUUUUUUGGAGGAGGUUCAGCUGAAUAGGUCGGUUGUUGUUGUUUAUUCAUUCAGUUGCCUCCAACUCUUCGUGACUUCAUGGACCAGCCCAUACCACAGCUCCCUGUUGGCCGUGGCCGCCCCCAGCUCCUUCAGAGUCAAGCUAUGAAGGAUACCAUCCAGGUCAGCAGAAGAUAUCAAUCCAUGCUUACCUAUAGUUUGUGCUCUUGAUAGGUGCCCAGGUAUACAUCCUGUGGACUUUAUCUAGAUAUCUCUGGAAGUUCAAAAGUGUAGAGAAAAGAGUAAGGAUAUAUUUGUGUGUCCUGGGGCAACCAGGCUUGGACUUCCAAAUAAACCAUACCAGCACCCAUUUUCACAGAAUAAAGUAAGCCACAAUUUUAUAGCUUAAAGCUAAUAAUCAGGGUUGGCCCAUACAUAGGUCCAAGAUUCUGGCACUGACCAACCUCUCUGUUGAUUGAUGAGACAUUCUUCCAGCCUGCUGAAGCCUUCAAGAUGACAGGAAGGACCGCACCACUUGUCCUCUUGCCACCAGGAGGUGUAUUUGGGUCUGUUCCCCUGAGCUGGACUGGACCUUGUUCUGCUUGCACCUACUGAGUUCCCUGCCAUGGGAGACCCCUUCCCUUCUCAUUGGUAACCACCCAGGAUCCCAGACCUAUGCCAGGUGUCCCAACCCAAGUUGUGACAAAACAAUGUUCACACUACAACAUACAUUGCUGAACAACAUAUGCAUAUUGAAUAAUGUACACAAUGUAUCUGCAUAAAGCUAACAAAUGGACAUUUCAUAACAGAGGGUGGGAUGCUGCUGAGGAGCCAGCUGCUGGAAGGUGCCUGGGAGACCUGAUAUAUAUAAGUUGGAACCCAUUGGCUUGUCCCUCAGCCCCAAUUGAACUCCUGAGAGCCUGCAGAAAUGCUUAGUGCCACUGCCACCCACCUGCCAGCCUUGCCACACCCCAUCCUGCAAGAUCCUUGUUGUUAAUUAUGCUUAUUUUGGAUACACUCUGGAGAGUAAAACUCUUGCCAAUUUAUACGGCAAAACUGUUAAAAAUUAAAUUAUUACACCCAAUUUCAAUUAAAGAAAUGGUAGCAUGCAUUCACUGUAACAUUGCUGGAUGAUGCCCUCACUUGAUGAUUCAGUGCUCAUGUUGAAAAGCAUGGGAGACAUGAUGGAACUCUGUGGGAACUUUUGCAACAGCUUUCUAUGUCUUGAACAUAUCAGCAGUAUCACACUGAAUGUUGGCAGUUCAGGCCUCUUGUGAAAUUCUCAAUAUUCUCAAUAUAUACAUUAUCGAGUUAGUUUUCUUUGGUUAAUGUACUAACUGCCAUCGUAAUAGCUACAAUCUAGACUUUAAUCUGGCAACAGACCUUCCCCAGAAAUAUCGUUCUUCUCUUAUCCUUUUAACUUUUUUCCAAAGUCACAAAAGGAUUUUUUACCUCAUCUUGAGACUUGAUUAAAGUCCAGAUGUUUCGAGUCCCUUUCUCUCCAUCGAUCAUUCUUCUUCGGAUCUGGAAAGAAAGGAAGAAAGAAUUACUAAAACUAGCAUAUG